UCUAUCAUAUUUCUAAGUAUGUUUUUCCACAGAUGUAAUCUUUUUUGUUCUUGCUGUCAGCAAGAAGACAUAUUGGCAAUUAGUGGUUUUUUUUUUUUUUUUUUUUUUUAACUCCAAAAUUUGAUUGAUUUUCAUUCUAAAUACACUACAUGGCAACUUCUGUGAGGACUGAAGUGAAGAGAGCAAAGAGAUUGUCCCUCAGUAGCAGGCUGUCAACAAGGAUGGAGGGGCGAAACACGCUAAGAUUUGGCUGGCCAUAACCAUAAUUUUUUUACAUAAAACAUAAUUGUACAACUCAGGAAUAAGUUAUCGACAUUAUUUUCCCUCUCAUGCGAAGAGUAUUUAUAGGAGCAUCGUGAUUUUUUCACACGCUAUUGAGGAAUGAUGGUUCUAUUGAAUUACAUAGGUUUGUGAUACGUUUUACCAUUUUGUUUUUGAAUUUUUUCUCCCAAAAAAGUCCUUUAAAAAAAAAACCUUUCAACAUUUUGUAUAAUGCAGUCUAUUGACAUUUCACUCAAUUUUUUUAUUAUUAUUAUUAUUUUUUAUUAUCACACUGGCCGAUUCCCGCCAAGGCAGGGUGGCCCGAAGAAGAAAAACUUUCACCAUCAUUCACUCCAUCACUGUCUUACCAGAAGGGUGCUUUACACUACAGUUUUUAAACUGCAACAUUAACACCCCUCCUUCAGAGUGCAGGCACUGUACUUCCCAUCUCCAGGACUCAAGUCCGGCCUGCCGGUCAAAUGUCCAUGUAAUUAGAUUACCUAACUCUUUAUCUUUCAUCUGAUGUCGACUAGAACAUUGUUUUAAAAAUUUUAUAGUUGAGGUAUAGUUUUAAUCCCUGUAGAAUAGGGCACUAUUUAUUUUUUUUCCAUCUAACUGUAAGAAAAAGUCACUAAAAACAGUGUCUAGGUUUCAAAUGCUGCUUAAUUCACAGUAAAAAUUCCAUUGAAAUUGGACACACACAAAAAAUUUUGCUCAUAGCCUCCUUAAAUUGGAAUAAUGUUACAAAAUAGCACAAAAAUCUAAUGCAUUGAAGUACUCCAGUGUACACCUAAUAUAGUACUGUACACUUAAGAUGUACUGCAUUAAACAUUAAAAAUGCAGGCACUCAAGGUAUAAUGCAACCAGUAGAUUUUGCCAAGAACUUUAAGACCUUUACAAUGAGGUGUGUUAUACUGAGGGUUUACUGUAGGUUUUUAACCCCCCUUUCCUCUUGGUCUGAGGAAUUAAACCUGUCUGUCUCCUUCCUCAGACCGAACCUAAUUACCCCCCAAUCCCCCCUUCCCUCUCUCAUCCUCCCCAUCCUUCCCUUUUUCCUUUCCUCCUCCUCCCCACCCCUUGCUUUUGCCCUUCCUUUUUGGCCUUUGGGAUUUUUUCCCACAGGCGUGCUAGUUCCUAGGUAGGGGGAAGGGUACCAGGGUCCAUCCUGUGGAGAAAUUUUCUCCAGGAGGAGGGUAUCAGCCCCCUUCAGCCCCUUUCAGCCCUGAGGGGCCCAGCCCUCUCAGAAGGGGCAAGCGUCUUGUUUACUGCUACAGCGAGUAAUUGAUCACAUGUCGUACGAGUAUGCGACGUGGUCAAGUGACCGCUGCUCCUUGCAGAGUGUUGCAGAGUGUAUUUUAAUAAGAGACAGUACAUCUUACUUUAGCAGGACUGUUAUGGGGCUAUAGGACCCAACAUGUAUUUAUAAGUAACAGUUACUCUGGAAUACCUAAUUAUAUUGAAUUGAUGGGGACUUUGCUCUAAAUGUCAGAAGGACUGAUCAACCUUAUGACUGAGGCAGCUGGGUCAAGCCUAUUUUUCUCAAUAUAAUAGGUUAUACUAUAGACACAUAAACACACAAAUUUAAAUAAGUAGUUUAUAAAGUUGUAUUUCCUUUUGUAGAAGUAAAAUUAAGGUGUGGUAGAAUUGUGGUAACUGGAGAAUUGUGCUUGGCAACAGUCUUUUGUUUUGGUGGGAGGAGCAAGUUGUAUUUCCUUUUGUAAAAGUAAAAUUAAGGUGUGGUAGAAUUGUGGUAACUGGAGAAUUGUGCUUGGCAAAUAAGUAGUUUAUAAAUUGUAUUUCCUUUUGUAGAAGUAAAAUUAAGGUGUGGUAGAAUUGUGGUAACUGGAGAAUUGUGCUUGGCAACAGUCUUUUGUUUUGGUGGGAGGAGCAAGUUGUAUUUCCUUUUGUAAAAGUAAAAUUAAGGUGUGGUAGAAUUGUGGUAACUGGAGAAUUGUGCUUGGCAAAUAAGUAGUUUAUAAAGUUGUAUUUCCUUUUGUAGAAGUAAAAUUAAGGUGUGGUAGAAUUGUGGUAACUGAAGAAUUGUGCUUGGCAACAGUCUUUUGUUUUGGUGGGAGGAGCUUAGCUCUCUUCUCUCUCUCCCUCGGACUGACUCGGUCUCUCUGUGGCUGGCCUUCAACCUGGCAGGAUCUCUGGGUCCUUCUUCUAUCUUUUGGGGCAUUAUGUGUGCUCCAGGGGUGAGUUUUUUUUAUAAUUUAAGUUGUGACCACCAUACCCAGGGUGACUAAAGUGUGUCAAAACACUGGUUAGCCCAGAGUUAUGUCAAGGAGAGAGAGGACUAAAGUUGUUGAGAUAUACCAUGUGGGAGAACAGCUAUGCAGUGUGUAGAUCGUUGUUUUGAAAAUGUGAGGCUGUAAUUGUAUAUUCUGUACAUAUCUAUUGAGAAUACAGUUAUAUUUUUAUA